rnacentral:rRNA from 1 species
AAAUGAAUAGACGGGGGCCCGCACAAGCGGAGGAGCAUGUGGUUUAAUUCGAUGAUACGCGAGGAACCUUACCCGGGCUUGAAAGUUAGCGACAGUGCUGGAAACGGCACAUCUCUUCGGAGCGCGAAACUAGGUGCUGCAUGGUUGUCGUCAGCUCGUGCCGUGAGGUGUCGGGUUAAGUCCCAUAACGAGCGCAACCCUCAUAUAUAGUAUACCAGCACGUCAAGGUGGGGACUCUAUAUAGACUGCCUACGCAAGUAGAGAGGAAGGUGGGGAUGACGUCAAAUCAGCACGGCCCUUACGUCCGGGGCUACACACGUGCUACAAUGGUAGGGACAGAGAGCAGCGAGCCGGUGACGGCAAGCGAAUCUGAGAAACCCUAUCACAGUUCGGAUCGAAGUCUGCAACUCGACUUCGUGAAGUUGGAUUCGCUAGUAAUCGCGCAUCAGCCAUGGCGCGGUGAAUACGUUCCCGGGCCUUGUACACACCGCCCGU